rnacentral:sRNA from 1 species
GUGGCAGGGUAAAGACUUGGAAGAGACGCUGGUUCAUUCUGACUGACAACUGCCUUUACUACUUUGAGUAUACCACGGAUAAGGAGCCCCGUGGAAUCAUCCCUUUAGAGAAUCUGAGUAUCCGGGAAGUGGAGGACUCCAAAAAACCAAACUGCUUUGAGCUUUAUAUCCCCGACAAUAAAGACCAAGUUAUCAAGGCCUGCAAGACCGAGGCUGACGGGCGGGUGGUGGAGGGGAACCACACUGUUUACCGGAUCUCAGCUCCGACGCCCGAGGAGAAGGAGGAGUGGAUUAAGUGCAUUAAGUUCCAGGUCAGCCCAGGAGAGCCAUAGCAGCUGCUGGUGCCACCGCUCAGCAGGGAGCAGCCAUCAGCAGGGACCCUUUCUACGAAAUGCUCGCAGCACGGAAAAAGAAGGUCUCCUCCACAAAGCGACACUGAGCGUGCAGCCAAGGGCGUUGGUCUGCGGGGGCCUUGGAGCUCCUGCUCUUCUCCCGCACCUCCACGGAUGCCCUGCUGCCGAGCAGAGCGUCCUCUGCCAGGCCCCGCCCUGGAUUCCUAGAGACUAGCUUCAGCUUUUGCUAUUUUUUUUAAGUGGGAGAAGGGUGGGCAGUUAUCACUGGGGAAGAGAGGACCGGCCACCUGUCCAGCAUGGGCUCCAGAGCCUUCCUCUCUCACAGGGCAGAGCUCUUGUCGGCAGGGCAGCCUCCUAGCCAGUUUCUCUGCUCAGUGUUCUGGUAGCAGAGCUCAGAGCCAACUGUUUACCUCUUGGUUGUCCCCGUGAAGAAGCCUUCAAACCCUGCACCAUAAAUACAUGUGUCCAUAUAUUAUUAUAUGUUAAGAGAAAAAGGUGGAAAGGAAGAGAAGCCACAUACU